UAGGGAAUCUUCCGCAAUGGACGCACGUCUGACGGAGCAACGCCGCGUGAGUGAAGAAGGAUUUCGGUUCGUAAAACUCUGUUGUUAGAGAAGAACAGCGCAUAGAGUAACUGUUAUGCGUGUGACGGUAUCUAACCAGAAAGCCACGGCUAACUACGUGCCAGCAGCCGCGGUAAUACGCAGGUGGCAAGCGUUGUCCGGAUUUAUUGGGCGUAAAGCGAGCGCAGGCGGUCAAUUAAGUCUGAUGUGAAAGCCCCCGGCUCAACCGGGGAGGGUGAUUGGAAACUGGUUGACUUGAGUGCAGAAGAGGGGAGUGGAAUUCCAUGUGUAACGGUGGAAUGCGUAGAUAUAUGGAGGAACACCAGUGGCGAAGGCGACUCUCUGGUCUGUAACUGACGCUGAGGCUCGAAAGCGUGGGUAGCAAACAGG
rnacentral:rRNA from 1 species